CCUACGGGUGGCAGCAGUGAGGAAUAUUGCGCAAUGCGCGGAAGCCUGAACCAGCCACGUAGCGUGCAGGAUGACGGCCCUACGGGUGGUAAACUGCUUUUAUACGGGAAUAACUCCCCUUACGUGUAGGUCUUUGCAUUUACCGUAUGUAUAAGGACCGCCUAAUCCCGUUCCAUCAGCGGCGGGAAGACGGAGGGUCCGGGCGUUAUCCGGAUUUAUUGGGUUUAACGGGAGCGUAGGCCGCAUGGCAAGCGUGCUGGGAAAUGUUCGGGCGCAACCCGGGCCUGGCAGGGCGAACGGGAGUGCUUGAGUACGAGGAAGGAAGGCGGAAUU
rnacentral:rRNA from 1 species